AAGGAGUGUGAUUCUGAGGGAGAGUGAUCAAGAGAGAGUGAAUGUGAGCUGAAUUCAAAUUCUAUUGAGAGAAAUUCAGAGGUAUUCAGAGAGGGAUCGAGACAGAAUCCAGAAGUGUGAGCAAUGUGAAAUUUGGUGAAAAAUGAAUCGCCAAGAAGAGCCAAUGAUUGGGAAAAUGAUGAUUUAUGUAAGGGUGAGGCUUGAGAGGGUAGAUUAGGGAAUUUAAUCUGAGUUAGUUAGAUUCUGGUGAUGAGCUGGAAAUUCUAUUAAUGAAUUCAUUGAGCAAUUCGGAAACUAAUUGUGAAUCUGGAAAUUGAGGUGCUGCUGUGAGUUUAGCUUGAAUUUGUUUCACGUGAAAAAUUUGUGGUAAUUUGAAUAUGAGUUCAGCUGAGCUGGAAAUGAUUGAUGGUCUAAAUUAUGUUAAUAGUUUUUCCCUGCUAUAUUCUACUAAAACAAUUUUGUUAGAAACUAGUGAUGCAAUUAGUAUUACGUCUGAUCAUACUGUUAAAGAUUGUUAAUGAUGUGAAACUGUUAAUCUGGUCUGUUAGGAUUGUGAGGCAAUUAAUUUGAAACUUACUUGACUGCUAUGUUUAUGUACUGUUAUGAACGAAUUUGUUGGCUAUUGAAUUAUUGUGCAGGUGUAACCGGUUACCACUAUGAAAGUUGGUGCUCUAGACUGCAAUAAGGGGCCACGUGAAGCAGGUGUAACCGGUUACCCACAUGAAGGUUGGUGGUUCCUGGGUGCAAACAAGGUUAUGUGAAGCAGGUGUAACCGGUUACCGUAACCAGUUACCAACACAAUAAUGAGGGUUCUGGGUUACAUGAUGAGCCUGUGUGCAGCUGGCGUAACCGGUUACCAUACAAAAAAUGGUGUUUUGGGGUUCAACUUUAUGCUAACUUGAAGGUGCAUCAUGGAGAACGGAAUGGUAGCUGCAAAGUUCAAAGUUCCUUUCAUUUGGCACUUGAUUUAAGCUAUGUAUGGUGAUUCUAUGUAUUUAUUAAGUAACAUGAGAAUGUAAAUGCAAAUGCAAAUGCAAACUAUGCUUAUGUAAUGAACAUUAAUCAAUUCAAUUUUAUGAUUCAAGAUUAAAUCAAAUUUCUCUCUUUUUGUAUGAAAUGUAUGAAAAACUCUAAUGAAAUGCAAGUUUCUAUAGUAGAAUGUAAAUUGUUUCCACUUUAAAUCGAA
rnacentral:lncRNA from 1 species